UACGUAGGGUGCGAGCGUUGUCCGGAUUUAUUGGGCGUAAAGAGCUCGUAGGCGGUUUGUCGCGUCGGCCGUGAAAUCUCCACGCUUAACGUGGAGCGUGCGGUCGAUACGGGCAGACUUGAGUUCGGUAGGGGAGACUGGAAUUCCUGGUGUAGCGGUGAAAUGCGCAGAUAUCAGGAGGAACACCGGUGGCGAAGGCGGGUCACUGGGGGUUAUCUGACGCUGAGGAACGAAAGCCAGGGGAGCAAACGGG
rnacentral:rRNA from 1 species